rfam:Endozoicomonas numazuensis strain DSM 25634 scaffold00002, whole genome shotgun sequence.
GCGUCCGUAGCUCAGCUGGAUAGAGUACCUGGCUACGAACCAGGCGGUCGGAGGUUCGAAUCCUCCCGAGCGCG